UCCACUACCCAAAAAAUCAAUUCUUUGCGCCCUUUCAUUUUUCUAUACGUUUCUAAGUUUUGAUUCUCACUUUCUCUUUUACACAUUUAUCGAAAAUGUAUAGCCAUGGAACAUGAAAAGCCACUACUCAAUAACAAUAAACACACCUUCCCAUAUCUCUUUGAUCCAUUUUACGAAGUGCAUCGUUACAAAAGAGAGAAAUACCUCUUCAUUUCAAUACCACAAAGCAUCUGCCUCUCCAACCUUCAAUUUUUACUAACAACAAAUUUGCAGAAGAAAAUAAAUGCAGCAUCCAUCACCAAUGGGUACAACAAAACCAUGGAGAAAAACAAAAACAGAAGCAGCGAGAACACAAAAAAUAGAAGGGAAAAAGCAGUGCUGCCGGAAAUCAGAUCUGACACGUCCACUCGUGCGAACAUCGCUCCGCCUUCGCAAACCCGUUGGCAACUACAACGCGACAACCACCGUAGACGCACAAAGCUUCAUCCGACAUUCUUGCUUUGUUAAUAAACUGUGAGUUCAUUGACUUAAAAAUGGAGUCACUUUCUACUGGUAAUACUAUGAUGGUAGCCAGGGACUCAUCAAACUAGGUUUUGCUGCAAUUAGAUAUGUUUCACAAUGGACUUUCUAGGAUGUUCGAGUGCAACACUGUAAAGGGUUAUGUUUGGGUUACUCUCAAACUAUGUGUGUGUGCUGAUGAUGUAUUGUUUGUUAGAUUGUGAAAGUUUUGGAUUUAUAGGUUCUGAAACUUACUUUUUGUUUGUAUGUUUGUUGUUUUUGAUUUUGUGUUUUUUUCUCUUUUCAGCAUCCUUGAAAUCUAAAUUUGGUUGGAUAAACCAACUCUUGGCAUUGCUCUCAUGAAUUUGAGGUAUAAAGAUGAAUGUGCAGUUGAAUCAAGGGGUAAAGUCAACGAUCCUGAUUUUGAUACCGAGAGUUAGCCAAGUUGAUGUUGCAAGAUCUUCUCCGAGUUGUUUGAAUCUUGAAGAAUGGGCUCAUAUGCCUCAUGCUGCCGAUAUGUAUGUUCUUGGUGAUUGAUAAGUUGAAUGUGGUUGAUAAGCUAUUGUUGCUUGAGAGAUUGAACAGCGUGAUAUGCAGUUCGUUGACAGAGUAUUUUGGAUAGAAGGUGAGGAAGAGGAUUCUGAUUACGAUGGCGAUGGCGAUCCUGAUGAUUAGAAUCAAUAGGAGGCUGCAUAGCCAACAGAAGAAUCAGCAUCAACAACUUCUUCUUUUCUUUGGUGAUUUUAGAUAAUGGUUCAUAGGAAUACUAGGUUGUUGUGCAGGAAGAGGUUGACAUUUUCAUUGAAUCAAUAUUAUUUUCAGCCUGGCUGCAUUAUGUUUGUCUAUUAUUUAUUUGUUUCAAAACAUCCUCUCAAAGCUUUAUUAAAACUACGGUGUAAUUGUUUUCAAUCAAAAU